AAGUUGUCAGCUCCAAGCACAGUUAGAGCUUCAUCUUUCUUAGACAUGCUUGUGCUGAAAACGGUCACCUUGAGUUUGAAGGCCUUGCCGAAUUUCAUAGCCAUGUGACCAAGACCACCGAGGCCGAUGACCCCUAGGGAUUUACCAGGUUUGUUCAUCUUAUGGUCCAUCAUGGGAGAGUAAACAGUAAUGCCAGCACAAAGCAGUGGUGCUGCUGAAGCCAAGGGGUAGUCCUCUGGUAUUUUGAAGCAGUACCUAUAGUUUCGUGACAAAAUAAGAUUACUAAACACAGUUGCUUCAUCGACUGGAAAUGUAGAUCGACUUGGCUAGCAAAUAGUAAUACUUACCUUUCAUGGACAACAGUGAACGUGGAAAAACCUCCAUGGGUGAUGGUGCCGUCGUAAUCAAACCGAUUGUAAGUUAACACUACUCCUUUAUCACAGUAAACCUCUAGGCCAUCGUUACAAUACUCACAAUCUCUACAUGAGUUGGUAUAAGUUAUAAGAAUGAAUAAUUGAUAGAAUGGAAUAGAUAGUCUGUUAUUGAUUCUGAAUCGUAUACAUAUACAGAGACUUCUAGCUAUUCCUACAAGUCAGGAAUCAACUACAAUUAAGGAUAUCUAUUUACAAUAGGAAAGAUAUGGAUAUCUGAUGUACAGCUAAUAUAUGCAGAUCUUCUAUUCUAAAUAGGAAAGAUAUGGAAGAUUGAUUCUCUAACACUCCCCCUCAAGAUGGAGAGUGGAUAUCCUGCACUCCCAACUUGCGAAUCAUAGGAACAAAGAUUUCCUUCCCUAAGGGCUUUGUUAAUACAUCUGCCAGCUGAUGUGUAGAACUCACAUAUCUUGUAGUCACAGAGCCAUCUUGAAUCUUAUCUCUAAUGUAAUGACAAUCCAUCUCAAUGUGCCUAGUACGUUCAUGAAAAACAGGGUUAGCUGCAAUAUGUAAGGCAGCCCUGUUGUCACAAUACAAUAAAGCAGAUUCAUGAUGUGGAAGUCCCAAGUCCCUUAACAAAGAUCGAAGCCAUGACAACUCACAACAAGCUCCUGUCAUGGAGCGAUAUUCUGCCUCAGCAGAUGAAAGAGAAACUGUUUUCUGCCGCUUCGAUCUCCAGAAAUCAAUGAAGGUCCGAGAAAGACACUAUAACCAGUAGUAGACCUUCUAGUAAGUGGACAACCUGCCCAAUCAGNNNNNNNNNNNNNNNNNNNNAAAGCUUCAUUUUGGUACAUGAUUCAAUUUAAUUACUCUAAUAUUUUUUUUAAUAAACGUAUUAACCAAGUAACGCGAUGCAUACCAUAACCGAUCACCAUCGAUAAAGAAAAAGCUUUCUAAAUCACUACCUAUUUAAUUGUCGUUUUAAGACAAUUUUGUAUAAGUUGAGUAAAAUUAUCAAAACGUAUCGUUUUAUGAAGUUUAUAAUAGAUUGAACGCCUAUAAUAAUUAGAAAUAUUUGGAAGAAGAAACGUUGCAUUCCCAAUUUAUGACUAGUGCUGCACAGUGUUAGCAGAAUAGCAGUAGGGGAAAUAGUGACAUCAAAUCAUCUAAGACAAGCCGGUAUUAUUGAGAAAACAGACUUUGCAUUCCCAAUUUAUCACAAGUACUACACAAACCAAUUGCAAUGGUAUUUAACAACAAUUGCUUUAAAAAGACACACCUAAGACUUUCCAAAGAUUAAAACAACAGUCACUCGAUAAAGCAUUGGUACUUAACAGGGGAUGGAAUCGGUUCUGUACCCCGUUUUGUUAUGAAAGUUUCUAAACUAGACUAGAAAGUACACAAACAAGUUUCUAUUACAGAGAUGAUAUCGAAGAUAAUGUGCCAUUACAAUUCUAUAUGCUGCCAAUCUGAGAAUGGUUCGAGGAUGCUAUUUCUUCUUCGCACUUUGGAUCGCGUCUUCCUUCAUCUACACCAACUCAACAAAAUGUUGUUGAGAGGUAUGAAUAGAAUUGCCAAAUCUAAAAUUUUAGACAAAAUUAAGCUUAUUCUUUUUAGAAGCAAAACAAUCUCCUCAAACGAUACAUUCUCUUACAUUCCAGCAAACCUCUUCCUGCAGCGCCGUGGAUUGCCAAACGUGACCUAUGUGUAAGUGUGAGUCGUCUGUUUCUGAUUUAUAACUAGUGCUAAUUUUUGUUCAUAUGAAGCUUGGUGAUCUUUUUGUUUUUAAGGAAGAACCAGAAGUGUGACGUUGGUGCAGAUCAGUCAGUGUUUUGGUCAGUGGAACCAACCACCAAAUUGAUACCCUAAUUUCAAAUCAAGACCGGAAAGAAAUGCAUCUCAUUCACAUUAUUUUGAUUUAAUCCUUCAAAGUUCCAGCCACUUAUUCAUAUAAAAAAGAAGAAAAAACUUAAAGAACACCAAAUCCCUAUUACAUCAAGUUUAAAGACUUCAUAUUUAUAUGCUCAUAUAUUGUUGCAAUGAUCUUCAUUUCAGGGAGUUUCCAAUGUCUACCACAAAGCGGUACUUGACAUCCUUCUUUAUGAGCCUCUCAAUAGCUUCAUUCACAUACUGAAUUGGAACAACUUCUAUGUUUGGAUAUAUCUUGUGAGCAGCACAGAAGUUUAACAUUUCUUGAAUCUGUUUCGUACCACCUGAUGCGCUACCGGUAAUUGAUCUCUUACCUGAUCACAAAAUUACAAAGAUACCUCAACUUCAUGAAUGAAACAGUUAUGUAAAACUUAAAAUGACAAGUAAUAUAUAUGAGAAUUGCUCAUGUAAAAUGAACUACUACAAUAAGUACCUAUAAGAAGGCUCAUAGGGUUCAAUUUGAUUUCACUUGGGGCACCCACAAGGACUAGAACACCAGCAGUCUUCAGUACUGACAUGUACAAGUCGAACGGGUGAUGACCAGAUGCUGUGUCAACGAUGAAGUCAAGUGACUUAGCCAGUGCCUGCAUUCGAACAAAAAAAAAAGCCGAUUUUAAGUCUUGAAAUUGUCAUGGUUCAGCGUUGGAGUUUAUGUUGUUGUCAAAUGCAUGAUUCUACUACCUUCAUCUGGUCUUGGUCAGACGAGACCACGAAGCUGUCAGCUCCAAGAACAGUUAGAGCUUCAUCUUUCUUAGACAUGCUUGUGCUGAAAACGGUCACCUUGAGUCCGAAGGCUUUGCCGAAUUUCACAGCCAUGUGACCAAGACCACCGAGGCCGAUGACCCCUAGGGAUUUACCAGGUUUGUUCAUCUUAUGGUCCAUCAUGGGAGAGUAAACAGUAAUGCCAGCACAAAGCAGUGGUGCUGCUGAAGCCAAGGGGUAGUCCUCUGGUAUUUUGAAGCAGUACCUAUAGUUUCGUGACAAAAUAAGAUUACUAAACACAGUUGC
rnacentral:lncRNA from 1 species